UUGGUGUUUGAUCGAUGUACGAAUUUUUGUUUGUCAGGCAGAAUGUUGGUGCAGUUGACAAUAGCGGCAAUAGUAGCCACGGAUACACCGACCUGGAGAAGCGUAGUGGCAGCAGUAGCUACAGAUGAGGGGGAUCGGACCAUUGAAGAAGCAUCCCAAAGUUGCUAAACAAGAACUACCUGACUUCCAUCAAUGGAUGAUCAUAUAGCGGAUGACCUUCUGAUAAAGGGGCUGCAUAUGAGCAACCUACGUACCCUGAGCAAGAAGUUAC